AGAGUUUGAUCCUGGCUCAGGACGAACGCUGGCGGUGUGCUUCACACAUGCAAGUCGAACGGAGUAGCAAUACUCAGUGGCGGACGGGUGAGUAACACGUGGGAAUCUACCAUUAGGUGGGGAAUAACAGGCCGAAAGGACUGCUAAUGCCGCAUAUGUAGGCAUCUCGACAGAGAUGUUUAUGAAAGGAGUAAUCCGCCUUUUGAUGAGCCCGCGUCCGAUUAGCUAGCUGGUAGGGUAAAAGCCUACCAAGGCGACGAUCGGUAGGUGGUCUGAGAGGAUGAUCACCCACAAUGGGACUGAGACACGGCCCAUACUCCUACGGGAGGCAGCAGUGGGGAAUUUUACGCAAUGGGGGAAACCCUGACGUAGCGACACCGCGUGAGCGAAGAAGCCCUUUGGGGUGUAAAGCUCUGUCAACAGGAACGAAACAAAUGACGGUACCUGUGGAGGAAGCAUCGGCUAACUACGUGCCAGCAGCCGCGGUAAGACGUAGGAUGCAAGCGUUGUCCGGAUUUAUUGGGCGUAAAGAGUUCGUAGGCGGUUUGUUAAGUCUGAUGUUAAAGACCGGGGCUCAACCUCGGAAAUGCAUUGGAUACUGGCAGACUGGAGUGCAGUAGAGGCUAGUGGAAUUCCCAGUGUAGCGGUGAAAUGCGUAGA
rnacentral:rRNA from 1 species